rnacentral:tRNA from 2 species
GCCCGAUUAGCUCAGCUGGUUAGAGCGUCGUACUAAUAUCUUCUCUAACGAGAUAUCAAGUCCAUGCGAAGGUCAACAGUUCAAUCCUGUUAUUGGGCA